rnacentral:ncRNA from 1 species
UGAGGCUUGAUCCUGGCCUUUCUAUCGACUGUUUUCCGAUUUACACAUGCAAGUAUCCGCACAACCGUGAGAAUGCCCUCAAACCUCUGCCAGACUGAGGAGCCGGUAUCAGGCACAGACCCCUUGCCCACAACACCUAGUCUUACCACACCCCCAAGGGUAAUUCAGCAGUGAUAAAUAUUGUGCAUAAGCGACAGCUUGACUCAAUCAGGAAUGACCAGAGCUGGCCAAUACGGUGCCAGCCGCCGCGGCUAUACCGCUAAGCUCAAGUUGAUAGUUUUCGGCGUUAAGCGUGGUUAAAGAUUUUUUUAACUAGAGUUAAACGGAAAUUUAGCUGUUAUAAGCUUAUUAACAGGAAACCUAAAAACGAAAGUUACUCUAUUAUUUCUUGAACCCACGACAGUUAGGACACAAACUGGGAUUAGAUACCCCACUAUGCCUAACCGUAAAAAAUUUAUUUACACCCCCAACGCCAGGGUAUUACAAGCUAAGCUUCAAACCCAAAGGAUUUGACGGUGUCCCAUCCAUCUAGAGGAGCCUGUCCUAUAACCGAUGAUCCACGUUUUACCUCACCGCCUCUUGCUCUCAGCCUGUAUACCUCCGUCGCAAGCUUACCAUGUGAAUGACAUAGUACGCUUAAUGAUCUUUUCAUCAACACGUCAGGUCAAGGUGCAGCUUAUGAAGCGGGCAGAGAUGGGCUACAAUUUCUAACAUAGAACAAACGGAACAGCUAGAUGAAAUCUGCUGUGAAGGUGGAUUUAGUAGUAAAAAGAAAUUAGAAUGUUUUUUUUAAUUUGGCUCUGGGACGUGUACACACCGCCCGUCACCCUCUUCAAUAGCUUUACCUCAAGUUUAUAACUAACUUUUCGCGCCUUAGAAGAGGCAAGUCGUAACAUGGUAAGUGUACUGGAAAGUGCACUUGGAUAAA